GAUGAACGCUGGCGGCGUGCCUAAUACAUGCAAGUCGAGCGAACAGACGAGGAGCUUGCGCCUCUGACGUUAGCCGCGGACGGGUGAGUAACACGUGGAUCACCUACCUAUAAGACUGGUAUAACCUCGGGAAACCGGAGCUAAUACCGUAUAAGAUAUUGAACCGUAUGGGUCAAUAGUGAAAUACGGUUUUGCUGGCACGUAUAGCUGGAUCCGCGCCGCAUUAGCUAGUUGUUAAGGUAACGGCUUAUCACGGCAAGGAUGCGUAGCCGACCUGAGAGAGGGGUCGGCCGCACUGGAGCGGGGCCGCGGACAAGAGUACUACGAGAGGGAGCAGUAGGGAAUGUGCCGCAGUAGGCGGGAACUUGGCGGAGCAGGCGCGCGUGAGUGAUGGAAGUCUUGGGAUCGUAAAGAUCUGUUAUUAGGGGAGAACAAAUGUGUAAGUAACUAUGCACGUCUUGACGGUACCGAAUCAGAAAGCCACGGCUAACUACGUG
rnacentral:rRNA from 1 species